CCAAAACGGAGGACAUAGCUGAGUGCACCCUUGCAUAGGUGCAGUGGAUGUGGUUCAGAUCUGGGUGCACCUUGAGUCUGGCUGUGAUGUCCUAUGAUCCGCUCUGCCGCCAUCUCGUUCCUAUCCCCUUCCUGCACAGACACUGCCAGUGGCCUGGGCUCUGUCACCGCGGGGGGACGUCUGUGGUCCUGCUCCUUCUGCCCAGUACCUCCAUGUCCUUGUGAGCCCCAGCUUCCCUCUGCACUGGAAACAACGUGGUGUUGGGCCCCCUGAGCCAGGUGACCCUGCUGGAGCAGGGAUUGGGCCAGAAGGACCCGACCACAGCCAUUUUGUGCCUCCGUGAAAUUAGCCACCUUCUCUUAUGUUCUGUUCCUCCAGGCUGGCCCAGCAUCUCCCCACAGGCAUAUGUUGGUAGUACUUACUGAUAUCGAUAGUCUUUCUUUCCUGAUUAUCAAUAUUUGCUGGUUUGUUCCCACCAAUCUUUAGGAAAUACCCAGGAAGCAGGCAUGAACAGAGCUCCAGCAGCUCCAUGAUUCCAGCAGGAGCCAUCAGCCCACCGUGCCUUCCUGUGUUCCCUUCCCAAAGCCCACCAGGAACGUCGCAGUUCCCAGGGCUGCACAGAGCUGCUGGUAACCCUGUUAACCUUUGGGUUAAUCAAGCAAACUGGAAUUCUUCAUUAGAAGGAAUGUCGCUAAUUACAUAGCCGAGAGGCUAAGAGAGGCUGCCCUCCUUGCCUUCACCUGCUGUGACGUGACCUGCGGACAGCACAGGAUGGGAACUGGAGUCCAGCUGUUGGAUCUGACCACGCUGGUACCUUUGUUAUGGGCAGGUUCCAGCCACGGCUGAGCCGCAAACUACAUAUUCCCAUUUCCAGAGGGAAACAAGCCAAGCCCUACAGAUAAACCUGAAGCACUGGUGUAUGUUGCUCUUUGCCCUCAGCCAAUCUCGCCGUGCCAGCUCCAGCUUCAUCCCAGCCCAGUCACAGCAAGCAUUCUUCCUUAGGACACGGCCAAAUCUCCAACCCAGUUUCAACCACAAACUGCAGCAUAUCCAUAUGGAGUGAGAGAAGCGAUUCUUUCCACGUGGAGAUGUAGAAAUAAGUGAUUUUAUUUUGCCUUCGUUGUUACCUAGCUUGGAUCCAAGCCCAGUUCUUCUUCUGGUGGUGACGUGUGUUUGUGUAUUGCCAGUGGUCUGCAGUUGGCCAGAGGUUGUGUUCGUUGGUGUUUCUUCAUCCUUCAUGUAAUUUUUAGCAGCAUCUUCUUUCUGAAAACAGAGCCAUUAGGAUGUUCAGUGUUGCAAUAAAAUGGACGUGUGAUGGGCAACAAUAUUCCAGCAUGUCUGAUGAAGACAUCCUGGAGAAGACCUGAUACUUCCCGAAUAACAAGGCUGGAGUCCAAGGAGCACUGUCUUAGCUCUCCUCCUUCUGAUCAAGCAGCUCCUG
ensembl:lncRNA